AACAUUUUUCCGUGUGAUUCUGAAAAGAAUCUGUCUUCAGUUCAUGAACCGUGACAUUUCCCCCGGGGAACACUAUGUUCAGAAGGAGCUGCUGGAACAGGGAAGGCAAUCAGCGAAGGGCAGCAGCUGUGGCCCUGCCGAGUGGAGUUUGUGGCGCAGACCAGGACUGCCCAGAGCACUAAGGUCCACCUCCAGUGCUGGCCCGAGUGAGAGCAGAAACUGCUUCCCUGGGACAAUCUGCCUACUGUGCAGGAGGAGCAGGCCAUAUGUGUGGCUGGAAAAGAAACCCAGGACUAAUUAAGAUGAAGAGCUGCUUUCCUCCUCUAGCUCUCAGCCACCCUUGCACUUCAAUUAGGCCAAUCACACUCUAACUUCUUUUCAAAGAACCGACUUUUUCCUGGAUUCAGUCUGUCUUAUGAACAGUACUGGCCAGACUGUCAUCCUUGCUCACUCAUCCUGCCAUUAAUGGAAGAGUUUUCUAAAGCAUUGGAAUGUUGAUGCCCUGCUCAUGCUGUCAACCAAGAGGCCGUGCCACACAUCCCUAUGUGGAUUCCAAAGGGUAUCGGAACAUGAGAGGCAGGUGCUAGCAAAUUCAAAGACAGAUAGAUAUACAACAUACUUCCUGGAGUUUGGCAGUAAGCAGCCCGGACUGGAGUCACCAGACUUGCACUCUAGUCUCUCACUGCAUCUAACCACUGUGACGCGGCGAGGCCAUUUAACGUUGGUGGCCUCAGUUGCAUAAUUUCUCAAAUGAGGGCCUUAAAAUGGGCUUAGAACGGAAGGUUUAUUCCAGCUUCAACAUUCUGAGGAUCUCAUUCAAUAAAAUUGGAAAAAGAACCAGAGCAUAUUAAAUUUUACUUACAUGCAAUGAACAAAGCUGUAA
rnacentral:lncRNA from 1 species